UAGGUAGCGCCUCGUGAAUUCAUCUCCGGGGGUAGAGCACUGUUUCGGCAAGGGGGUCAUCCCGACUUACCAACCCGAUGCAAACUGCGAAUACCGGAGAAUGUUAUCACGGGAGACACACGGCGGGUGCUAACGUCCGUCGUGAAGAGGGAAACAACCCAGACCGCCAGCUAAGGUCCCAAAGUCAUGGUUAAGUGGGAAACGAUGUGGGAAGGCCCAGACAGCCAGGAUGUUGGCUUAGAAGCAGCCAUCAUUUAAAGAAAGCGUAAUAGCUCACUGGUCGAGUCGGCCUGCGCGGAAGAUGUAACGGGGCUAAACCAUGCACCGAAGCUGCGGCAGCGACACUAUGUGUUGUUGGGUAGGGGAGCGUUCUGUAAGCCUGUGAAGGUGUACUGUGAGGUAUGCUGGAGGUAUCAGAAGUGCGAAUGCUGACAUAAGUAACGAUAAAGCGGGUGAAAAGCCCCCUCGCCGGAAGACCAAGGGUUCCUGUCCAACGUUAAUCGGGGCAGGGUGAGUCGACCCCUAAGGCGAGGCCGAAAGGCGUAGUCGAUGGGAAACAGGUUAAUAUUCCUGUACUUGGUGUUACUGCGAAGGGGGGACGGAGAAGGCU
rnacentral:rRNA from 1 species